CUAAGGCCAUCUCGAAGCAGUGCCUGACGCUACCCACCAUCGCUGCCGGUGGCGUUCUGAAAUAUGCCUGGUACUUUGAUGUGUUCACAAAAUUCUGCAAAAUGUUCACGUUCAACACGUGCACUAAUACCAACGGCAACUACUUUGGCGAGUGAAUUGAAGUGCGGUCGGUGUGCCUCCCGAAAAUGAAGCCGACGCCUCUCUGCAGCGCGGACCCCAUUCGAGAUACAUGUCUUUUCCAAAGGAAACACUUUUUCUUUAGUUUCAAAAAUAACACAUGUGUACAAUUCCCAAAGAAAGGUUGCGGGAAAGGAAGUAACAGCUUCGCCUCAAUGGAUAAGUGCAUGGACACAUGCAGUUAUAACCAGUCUACGAUGGCCUGUUUCAACUGUGAACAGAAGCAUCCAAACGAGCUGCCGCCUAAUGGAAAACCAACAGGGCCAAACAUUAUGGGGCCUGUUAGUCCUUUGAAUCCAACUGGCCCGUCCAUGCCGCUUAGCCCACCGAUCGCCCAGGGCACAGCAGGCCCAACUGUGCAAAAUGGUAUACCAGGGUUACCUAGUGCGUCCACGCCACAGGGCAAACCCAGCUCAACUAUCACUGGUCGUCCAGUCCAAACCCACCCCACCCGCGCAAUCAAGCUAUGGAAACCCAGCUGGAAUACCAGCUCCACCUGGUACACCCACACUACCGGGUACACAUAGCUCAAAUCUCCCUGGUACCGUAAUACCACCCACCAUGACCACGCAGUCAAGCCAAUCAAUCCAAGCUGGAAAGCCAGUCCAAUCUGGUACACCCACUUCACAGGGCCCACCCAGCUCACCUUUGCCUGGUAGUCAAGCUCCAUCCAUUUCGCCCGCGAGACCAAGCAGGCCAACGCCCCUUGUAAAACCAGCUCCACCUGUUAAGCCUGUACUUCCAGGUAAUACCGGCGGACCCGGUUACCCCCCUGUACCC
rnacentral:lncRNA from 1 species